rnacentral:rRNA from 1 species
UACGUAGGGUGCAAGCGUUGUCCGGAAUUACUGGGCGUAAAGGGCGCGUAGGCGGCAAUUCAAGUCAUCUGUGAAAUCUCCGGGCUUAACUCGGAAUGGUCAGGUGAUACUGCUUUGCUAGAGUGCAGAAGGGGCAAUCGGAAUUCUUGGUGUAGCGGUGAAAUGCGUAGAUAUCAAGAGGAACACCUGAGGUGAAGACGGGUUGCUGGGCUGACACUGACGCUGAGGCGCGAAAGCUAGGGGAGCAAACGGG